rnacentral:rRNA from 1 species
UACGUAGGGUGCAAGCGUUAAUCGGAAUUACUGGGCGUAAAGCGUGCGCAGGCGGUUAUGUAAGACAGGUGUGAAAUCCCCGGGCUUAACCUGGGAACUGCAUUUGUGACUGCAUAGCUAGAGUACGGUAGAGGGGGAUGGAAUUCCGCGUGUAGCAGUGAAAUGCGUAGAUAUCAAGAGGAACACCAGUGGCGAAGGCGAGUCCCUGGACAACACCUGACACUGAGGCACGAAAGCUAGGGGAGCAAACAGG